CCCCUCUCCUACCCAAUCAGAUGUUGCACCGCCAUGGAGACAAGUCAUUAUCUUUAUCCCUCGAUUAAAUCCAUUCUUAUUCCAAUGCUCUUUCUUCCAGAAGCCCUAAAACCACUCCACCGAUUGAUUUUGCUCCUUCUACUACUAUGUUCUUCAAUUGCAUGUCCAUCUUUCUCCCAUCCAGUUUAUUCCAAACUCACCGCUUGGUCCCGAUCACUCCUCAACCCUGUGUCAUUGUUCUAUUGAGCACCAUCAUCAUCGUCGUCUCGGAUUUAGGUCACCACUCUAAAUACCCCACCGCCACCGAUUUCAUAGACCGUUUCUUCCUACUGUCAGCUUCUCAUCUUGCUCGCUCCAAUCCAUUCGAAUCUUCCUCUGCCUUCCAGUUCAUUCCAUCCUUCUAAUUGAUUGUUCGCUACAGUCUCCUAUAGUCGCAUAUUUCAGUCCAAUUUAGAUUCAUCGAGUCCCACAAUAUCAAUUCCUCUCACUGCAUACAUGGUUCACUACCGCAACAUUCGCCACUGGAGUUAGUGAAGAUCUUCGACGUUAAUCUCGCGAAUCGAUUUUUCUCAUCGCCAAUCACCACCGUAUUCUUCUAUAUGGUGGUGCUAAAUAAAGUUUUCUCACCACCUUCACCAUUUCAUCGCCUUCCUCUAUACAUAUUCUUUUUUUGUGAGUUUUCCGGUUUUCACCACCACUACCUUUGCUUUCUUUAACGCUAGAAGUGCUCAGAUUGGAUAUGAAAGAAGAGUCUCCUUUUGCUUACCAGAAUCGCAUUGUAGAAGGUAAGCCCUAUGUUUUCAAUUUUUGGGUAUUUCUUCUUUAUCAAUGGUGGUCAAAUACUUUAGUUGACUGAAUGGCUUCUUUUUUGUAAUUUCAAUUGAAGAGUUGUGAUGGACUGAUGCAAUGAAUGUUUAGUGAUUCUUCUUAUUCGUUAACACAGUCGACUCCCUUCUACCCUCAAUUCAUCAGCUUCCUGAAACCCCUGUUUUUUGAUUCAUACCCAUUACUAUGAUCGUCCACUGUAAAUUUUUUUCGCCAGCGACUCCUUGACCACCGCCCACAUCUCCCUCCCACCGGAUUAAAUAAUUGACCAAUAUUUCAUGUAUUGUAUAUUGUGAUAUGGGUUUUUAGGUGUCAUCGGUUUCUCAGAAGGAGUGGUGCCACAACCUCAGACGGAAGCUUUGUGCAAAAAUUGUUGCUGCUAGAGGAUGUGAUCUUGUUAAGGGUGCAAAGUUAAUUGGCCAAGAUAAUGAAGCAUUGGAUCAAGAUGUUGGUACUUCAAACCAGCCCCAAAGAAUUCUUUCAAACUUAGUUGUUGCGGCUGCUACUAAUAUUAAUUUUACAGAAGUUCUUGAAAAUCAAAUUAUAAUAACUUGCUGAUAAAGGUUCUUUAUUUUUUAUUGUUUAUUAUCAAUUGCAAAAAGAAGUAGGGAAUGCGUUAAUUUUGGAAGAUUAAUUGUGUUUGUAAUCUACGUAUUUUUUGCAAUGUUUCUCAGUUAUUAAGAAGCUAUUGGAUA